rnacentral:rRNA from 1 species
CCUACGGGAGGCAGCAGUGGGGAAUAUUGCACAAUGGGGGAAACCCUGAUGCAGCGACGCCGCGUGAGUGAAGAAGUAUUUCGGUACGUAAAGCUCUAUCAGCAGGGAAGAAAAUGACGGUACCUGACUAAGAAGCCCCGGCUAACUACGUGCCAGCAGCCGCGGUAAUACGUAGGGGGCAAGCGUUAUCCGGAUUUACUGGGUGUAAAGGGAGCGUAGACGGCAGCGCAAGUCUGGAGUGAAAUCCCAUGGCUUAACCAUGGAACUGCUUUGGAAACUGUGCAGCUAGAGUGCAGGAGAGGUAAGCGGAAUGCCUAGUGUAGCGGUGAAAUGCGUAGAUAUGAGGAGGAACACCAGUGGCGAAGGCGGCUUACUGGACUGUAACUGACGUUGAGGCUCGAAAGCGUGGGGAGCAAACAGGAUUAGAUACCCCUGUAGUC